CACGUGGGUGGAUCUGCACUGCACUUCGGGAUAAGCUUGGGAAACUGGGUCUAAUACCGGAUAGGAACCAUCUUUAGUGUGGUGGUUGGAAAGUUUUUUCGGUGUAGGAUGAGCUCGCGGCCUAUCAGCUUGUUGGUGGGGUAAUGGCCUACCAAGGCGGCGACGGGUAGCCGGCCUGAGAGGGUGUACGGCCACAUUGGGACUGAGAUACGGCCCAG
rnacentral:rRNA from 1 species